CAAAUGGUUAAAAAUCAAAAAUUGGAACGAUAUAGAGAAGAUUAGCAUGGCUCCCAUGUAAGGAUGGAGGGCAAAUUUGUGAAGGGUUCCAUAGUUUU
ensembl:snRNA U6 U6 spliceosomal RNA